rnacentral:rRNA from 1 species
GACGAACGCUGGCGGCGUGCUUAACACAUGCAAGUCGAACGGAAAGGCCCCCUUGUGGGGUACUCGAGUGGCGAACGGGUGAGUAACACGUGAGUAACCUACCCUUGACUUUGGGAUAACUUCAGGAAACUGGGGCUAAUACCGGAUAGGAGCUCCUGCUGCAUGGUGGGGGUUGGAAAGUUUCGGCGGUUGGGGAUGGACUCGCGGCUUAUCAGCUUGUUGGUGGGGUAGUGGCUCACCAAGGCUUUGACGGGUAGCCGGCCUGAGAGGGUGACCGGCCACAUUGGGACUGAGAUACGGCCCAGACUCCUACGGGAGGCAGCAGUGGGGAAUAUUGCACAAUGGGCGGAAGCCUGAUGCAGCAACGCCGCGUGCGGGAUGACGGCCUUCGGGUUGUAAACCGCUUUCGCCUGAGACGAAGCGUGAGUGACGGUAAUGGGUAAAGAAGCACCGGCUAACUACGUG